rnacentral:rRNA from 1 species
GACGAACGCUGGCGGCGUGCUUAACACAUGCAAGUCGAACGCUGAAGCUUGGUGCUUGCCCUGGGUGGAUGAGUGGCGAACGGGUGAGUAAUACGUGAGUAACCUGCCCUUGACUCUGGGAUAAGCCUGGGAAACUGGGUCUAAUACUGGAUACGACAUGUCACCGCAUGGUGGUGUGUGGAAAGGGUUUUACUGGUUUUGGAUGGGCUCACGGCCUAUCAGCUUGUUGGUGGGGUAAUGGCUCACCAAGGCGACGACGGGUAGCCGGCCUGAGAGGGUGACCGGCCACACUGGGACUGAGACACGGCCCAGACUCCUACGGGAGGCAGCAGCGGGGAAUAUUGCACAAUGGGCGGAAGCCUGAUGCAGCGACGCCGCGUGAGGGAUGACGGCCUUCGGGUUGUAAACCUCUUUCAGCACGGAAGAGGCGAAAGUGACGGUACGUGCAGAAGAAGCGCCGGCUAACUACGUG